rnacentral:lncRNA from 1 species
AUUAUAAGGCAGUUCAUAGAUGCUGCUGCUGCUGCUGCUAGCAUUUCAUCUGCUGAGAAUCACACUCAGUAGCAACAGCCGUCCAAGAUACAGCCCUGCGGGGCUUUGAGUGUUAACGUUGGGUGCAUAGUGAUGAGGCUUUUUUAAAGCCUUGAAACGGGGCCAACUGGUAAUACCUAAGGAACCUCUUCUACCAGAGGCAAGCAUUUUCACCAGCCAUUUUGAAUUUGAUGUGCUCAGCACUUUGAGGUAGCUGGCUCCUGGGCGUAAGUCAGAUUCUGACUCACUGGCUGGAUCACCAUCCUCAGGACCCCUUGCAGGGUAGACCUUGCUCAGUUGUUCCUCGAUUUUCUUCUGUGUAUUUGAAAGAAAUACAUGCUCUUGUGAUGUGCAAUGCUUCAUAGAUGUCACCUUUUAAGUUUAUUACAAAUCACAUUUGUAUAGUUCGUUAUUGAAUUUUAGACCCAUAUAACUUCUAAGCAUGAAGUAUUAUUACACACACACUAAGUACUUCUUAUGAGUCAAGUGCUAGAACUAUGGCUAUCACAAUGAUUAAAGCAUUUGUUUACCCCUUGGCUCACCACCAUAAGUGAAGGAGAUGUAGCUUUCUCUGCAAAGAAUUAUGCAUGAGAAGGCAUCUUGGCCAAAGCCAAGGGCUAAAGGUUAAGAGUAUUAUUCACAGAUAAUUUUAAACUUAAAAUUGUAAAAGAACCCAACUCGAUUGAGGUAUAAUCGACAUGCAACAUGUGGUACAUACUAAAACUGUUCUAUUUGAUAAGUUUUGACAUGUGUGUAAUACUAUAAUCAAGAUAGUGAACAUAUUCAUCAUCCCAAAAGGGUCCUGGUGCCCCUUUGUCAUCUCUCCCUCCCAUCCCUAAUCUGCUUUCUGUCAUUAUAAGUUAGUUUGACUUUUCUAGAAUUUCAUCUAAAUGAAAGUUUAUAGUGUGUACUCUCUGAGUCCUUUAUCUUGCUUCUAUUACUCAGAAUAAUCAUGUUGAGAUUCAUCCAAGUUGAAGUGUAUGUAUAUUAAUAGUUCGUUUCCUUUCAUUGCUGAGUAGUCACUCUCCAUUAUACAGAUACCCUAUACAGUAUAUUCACUUAUCUGUGGAUGGAAAUUUGGGUUCUUUCAGUUUUUCUUUUACAAAUAAAGCUGCUAUGAGCAUUCAUCCACAUGUGUUUGAAUGAAUAUAUAGCUCCUUUCCUUUUGGCUAAACACCUAGAAGCAGGAUGGCUGGAUCAUAUGGUAGGUGUAUGUUUAACUUUCAAAGACUCUGUCAAUUGUCUUCCAAAAUGUCUGUAUCAUUUUCCAUUCCCUGCAGCAGUAUAUGAGACUUCCAUUUCUUCCACAUCCUCACCUACACUGACACGGUCAAUCUUUUUCUUUUUGGUCACUCUAAUAGGUAUGUAGUGGUAUCUCACUGUGGAUUUAAUUUGCAUUUCCCUAAUGGAUAAUGAUGUCAAGCAUAUUUUCAUGCACUUAAUUUACUGUUAGUCUGUCUUCAUUGAUGAUGUGUCUGUUCAAAUCUUUUGCCCAGGUUUUUACUGAGUUGUUUUCUUAUAAUAUAGUUUUGGAAGUUCUUUAUAUAUUCUGAAUUAAUCAUAUCAUUAGAUAUAUGAUUUUAAAAGAUUUUCUCCCAGACUGUGCCUGUCUUUUCAUUCUUUGAAAGAGCAGAAGUUUUUAAUUUUGAUGAAGUUUAACUCAUCAAUUUGUUUUUUUUUUGGAUUAUACUUUUGGGGUUGGGUCUAUAAGAUCUUUGUUUAACCCAAAGUCAAAGGUUUUUUCCUUAUGUUUUCUCAUAGAAACUGUAUAAUAUUUAGUUUUACAUUUAAGCCUAUGGCCCAUUUUGAGUUAAUUUUUAAACAUAGUACAAGACAUGAAGUCCAUUUUUUUGGCAUAUGAAUAUCUCAUUGUUCCAGUACCGUUUGUUGAAGGGACUAUCCUUUCUCCACUGCUUUGCCUUUGUGACUUUGUAAAAAAUCAGUUGCCAUCUAUAUGUGAGUCUAUUUCUGGAUGUUUUGUUCCAUGGCUCUACAUCUAUCUUUAUGACAAUAAUACCUAUCUUGAUUAGUUUAGCUUUAUAGAAAGUCUUGAAAUCAGGUAGCAUUGGUCCUCCAACUUUGUUCUUCUUUUCUUUUAUUAUUUUUUUUAGAGACAUGGUCUUGCUCUUUUGCCCAGGCUAGAGUGCAGUGGCAUGAUCAUAGCUCACUGCAGCCUCCAACUCCCUGGCUCAAGCAGUCCUCCCACUUCAGCCUCCUGAGUAGCUAGGGCUACAGGUGCACACCAUUAUGCCUGGCUAAAUGUUUUAUUUUUGUAGAGAUGGGGUCUUGCUAUGUUGCCUAGGCUAGUCAUUGUUUUUGUUUUCAAAGUUGCUUUCACUAUUCUAAGUCCCUUGGAUUUUAGAAUUAGGUUGUUAAUUUCUACAAAAACCAAGCCUUCUGCUAUAUUGAUUGGCAGUGGGUUGACUCUAUAGGUCUAUUUGGGAAGAAUGAACAUCUUAAUAAUAUCGAUUCUUCUGAAUCAUGAACAUGUUAUAUCUGUUUGUUUGUUUAGUUAGGUCUAAUUUAAUUCCUGUUGCCAAUGUUUUAUAGUUUUAGUGUAGAAGACUUUCACAUCUUUUGUCAGAUUUAUCCCUAUUUCAUAUAUUUGAUACUAUUGUAAAUAGCAUUAUUUUAAAAAAGUUAUUUUCCAGUUGUUCAUUGCUAGUAUAUAGAAAUACAAUUGGUUUUUGCAUAUUUAUCUUGUGUCCUAUGAUCUUGCUAAAAUAAUUUGUACUAGUAUUUUUAAAAAAUAGAUUCCAUCACAUUUUCUACAUACAUGACCAUGUUGUCUGCAAAUGGAGAGGUUGACUUUAUGAGCAAUAUUGACUUGUAGUUUUCUUGUAGUUUCUUUGUUAGGUUUUAGUAUCAAGGUAGUGCUUGCCUUAUCAAAUGAUCUUUUAGUACUUUUAGAGAUGUGGAUACAUUGUCUCCUUACUUGUAUUGUUUCCAAAAAAAAAGAAAUCUGCUCUCAUCCUUAUCUUUGUUCCUCUGUAUCUAAUGUGUGGGUUUUUUUUUUUAUGUGGUUGUUUUUAAGAUUUUUCUCUUUAUCACCGUUUCUGAGCAAUUUAGUCAUGAUGUGUCUUGAUGUUGCUUUGUUUAUAUUUCUUGUAUUUGGAAUUCAAAAUUGGAUUUGUGGGUUAAUAAUUUUCAUAAAAUUUGGAAAUUUUCUGGCCAUUUCUUCAAAUAUAUAUAUAUAGUUAUAUAUAUUUUGUUUGUUUGUUUUUAAGACAGAGUCUCACACUGUCGCCCAGGCUGGAGUGCAAUGGCACAAUCUCGGCUCACUACAACCUCUGCCUCCCAGGUUCAAGCGAUUCUCCUGCCUCAGCCUCCCAUCUUCAAAUAUUUUUGUACCCUUAUCUUAUUUUUUCAGGAACUCCAGUUUCACAAAUAUUAGCCCAAGUGAAAUUGGCCCACAGAUCACUGAUCCUCUGUUCAUUAAAAAAAAAAUAAAAGUCUCUGUGAUGGUUGAUUUUGGGUAUCAACUUGCCUGGAUUAAGGGACACUUAGGUACCUGGGAAAGCAUUGUUUAUUCUCAGUGCUUCAGUGGGCACUGAGCACAUCCCUUUUCUGCUGAAAGGGAAACCCAGAUGGCUUGCCAUUUGAUUGGAAUGAUUGGGCUCCCCCAGGAAUGUUUGAGAGGGUGUUUCCAGAUGACAUUGGCAUAUGAGUUGGUGGACUGAGUGGGGAAGAUCUAGCUUCAAUGUGGAUGGACAUCAUCCAAUCAGCUGG